rnacentral:rRNA from 1 species
GACGUAGGAGGCGAGCGUUAUCCGGAUUUACUGGGCGUAAAGGGCAAGUAGGCGGCGGUUCAAGUUGGACGUGACAUCUCCCGGCUCAACUGGGAGGGGUCGUUCAAAACUGGGUCGCUGGAGGGCAGGAGAGGGAAGCGGAAUUCCUGGUGUAGCGGUGGAAUGCUCAGAUACCAGGAGGAACACCAGUGGCGAAGGCGGCUUCCUGGCCUGUACCUGACGCUGAGAGGCGAAAGCCAGGGGAGCGAACGGGCUUAGAUACC